rnacentral:rRNA from 1 species
AGAACCUUACCAGCCCUUGACAUCCCGAUCGCGGAUUACGGAGACGUUUUCCUUCAGUUCGGCUGGAUCGGAGACAGGUGCUGCAUGGCUGUCGUCAGCUCGUGUCGUGAGAUGUUGGGUUAAGUCCCGCAACGAGCGCAACCCUCGCCCUUAGUUGCCAGCAUUUGGUUGGGCACUCUAAGGGGACUGCCGGUGAUAAGCCGAGAGGAAGGUGGGGAUGACGUCAAGUCCUCAUGGCCCUUACGGGCUGGGCUACACACGUGCUACAAUGGUGGUGACAGUGGGCAGCGAGACCGCGAGGUCGAGCUAAUCUCCAAAAGCCAUCUCAGUUCGGAUUGCACUCUGCAACUCGAGUGCAUGAAGU